rnacentral:rRNA from 1 species
AUGAACGCUGGCGGCGUGCCUAAUACAUGCAAGUCGCGCGAACAGAUAAGGAGCUUGCUCCCUUGACGUUAGCGGCGGACGGGUGAGUAACACGUGGGUAACCUACCUAUAAGACUGGAAUAACUCCGGGAAACCGGGGCUAAUGCCGGAUAACAUUUAGAACCGCAUGGUUCUAAAGUGAAAGAUGGUUUUGCUAUCACUUAUAGAUGGACCCGCGCCGUAUUAGCUAGUUGGUAAGGUAACGGCUUACCAAGGCAACGAUACGUAGCCGACCUGAGAGGGUGAUCGGCCACACUGGAACUGAGACACGGUCCAGACUCCUACGGGAGGCAGCAGUAGGGAAUCUUCCGCAAUGGGCGAAAGCCUGACGGAGCAACGCCGCGUGAGUGAUGAAGGUCUUCGGAUCGUAAAACUCUGUUAUUAGGGAAGAACAAAUGUGUAAGUAACUGUGCACGUCUUGACGGUACCUAAUCAGAAAGCCACGGCUAACUACGUG